GGGGUUGUGGUCUAGAUUGGUAUGAUACCACCCCGGGGCGGUGGUGAUCGGGGGUUCAAAUCCUCCCAACCCCA
rnacentral:tRNA from 1 species